rnacentral:rRNA from 1 species
UGGGCGGUUCGCCGCCGGCGACGUCGCGAGAAGUCCAUUGAACCUUAUCAUUUAGAGGAAGGAGAAGUCGUAACAAGGGUUCCGUAGGUGAACCUGCGGAAGGAUCAUUG